rnacentral:rRNA from 1 species
GAUGAACGCUGGCGGCGUGCCUAAUACAUGCAAGUCGAGCGAACAGACGAGGAGCUUGCUCCUCUGACGUUAGCGGCGGACGUGUGAGUAACACGUGGAUAACCUACCUAUAAGACUUGGAUAACUUCGGGAAACCGGAGCUAAUACCGGAUAAUAUUUUGAACCGCAUGGUUCAAUAGUGAAAGACGGUUUUGCUGUCACUUAUAGAUGUAUCCGCGCCUCAUUAGCUAGUUGGUAAGGUAACGGCUUACCAAGGCAACGAUGCGUAGCCGACCUGAGAGGGUGAUCGGCCACACUGGAACUGAGACACGGUCCAGACUCCUACGGGAGGCAGCAGUAGGGAAUCUUCCGCAAUGGGCGAAAGCUUGACGGAGCAACGCCGCGUGAGUGAUGAAGGUCUUCGGAUCGUAAAACUCUGUUAUUAGGGAAGAACAAAUGUGUAAGUAACUAUGCACGUCUUGACGGUACCUAAUCAGAAAGCCACGGCUAACUACGUG